rnacentral:rRNA from 1 species
UACGAAGGGGGCUAGCGUUGCUCGGAAUCACUGGGCGUAAAGGGUGCGUAGGCGGGUCUUUAAGUCAGGGGUGAAAUCCUGGAGCGCAACUCCAGAACUGCCUUUGAUACUGAAGAUCUUGAGUUCGGGAGAGGUGAGUGGAACUGCGAGUGUAGAGGUGAAAUUCGUAGAUAUUCGCAAGAACACCAGUGGCGAAGGCGGCUCACUGGCCCGAUACUGACGCUGAGGCACGAAAGCGUGGGGAGCAAACAGG